rnacentral:rRNA from 1 species
UACAGAGGUACCAAGCGUUGUUCGGAUUUACUGGGCGUAAAGGGCGCGUAGGCGGCAAUUCAAGUCAGUUGUGAAAUCUCCGAGCUUAACUCGGAACGGUCAACUGAUACUGUUUGCUAGAGUACAGAAAGGGCAAUCGGAAUUCUUGGUGUAGCGGUGAAAUGCGUAGAUAUCAAGAGGAACACCUGAGGCGAAGGCGGGUUGCUAGGCUGAUACUGACGCUGAUG